UUAUUAACGCUGAGGUGUGAUGACGAGGCACUACGGUGCUGAAGUAACAAAUGCCCUGCUUCCAGGAAAAGCCUCUAAGCAUCAGGUAACAUCAAAUCGUACCCCAAACCGACACAGGUGGUCAGGUAGAGAAUACCAAGGCGCUUGAGAGAACUCGGGUGAAGGAACUAGGCAAAAUGGUGCCGUAACUUCGGGAGAAGGCACGCUGAUAUGUAGGUGAAGCCCCUGCGGGUGGAGCUGAAAUCAGUCGAAGAUACCAGCUGGCUGCAACUGUUUAUUAAAAACACAGCACUGUGCAAACACGAAAGUGGACGUAUACGGUGUGACGCCUGCCCGGUGCCGGAAGGUUAAUUGAUGGGGUUAGCGGUAACGCGAAGCUCUUGAUCGAAGCCCCGGUAAACGGCGGCCGUAACUAUAACGGUCCUAAGGUAGCGAAAUUCCUUGUCGGGUAAGUUCCGACCUGCACGAAUGGCGUAAUGAUGGCCAGGCUGUCUCCACCCGAGACUCAGUGAAAUUGAACUCGCUGUGAAGAUGCAGUGUACCCGCGGCAAGACGGAAAGACCCCGUGAACCUUUACUAUAGCUUGACACUGAACACUGGUCCUUGAUGUGUAGGAUAGGUGGGAGGCUUUGAAGUGUGGACGCCAGUCUGCAUGGAGCCGUCCUUGAAAUACCACCCUUUAAUGGCUGGUGUUCUAACGUAGACCCGUAAUCCGGGUUGCGGACAGUGUCUGGUGGGUAGUUUGACUGGGGCGGUCUCCUCCCAAAGAGUAACGGAGGAGCACGAAGGUUAGCUAAUCCUGGUCGGACAUCAGGAGGUUAGUGCAAUGGCAUAAGCUAGCUUGACUGCGAGAGUGACGGCUCGAGCAGGUGCGAAAGCAGGUCAUAGUGAUCCGGUGGUUCUGAAUGGAAGGGCCAUCGCUCAACGGAUAAAAGGUACUCCGGGGAUAACAGGCUGAUACCGCCCAAGAGUUCAUAUCGACGGCGGUGUUUGGCACCUCGAUGUCGGCUCAUCACAUCCUGGGGCUGAAGUAGGUCCCAAGGGUAUGGCUGUUCGCCAUUUAAAGUGGUACGCGAGCUGGGUUUAGAACGUCGUGAGACAGUUCGGUCCCUAUCUGCCGUGGGCGCUGGAGAAUUGAGGGGGGCUGCUCCUAGUACGAGAGGACCGGAGUGGACGCAUCACUGGUGUUCGGGUUGUCAUGCCAAUGGCACUGCCCGGUAGCUAAAUGCGGAAAAGAUAAGUGCUGAAAGCAUCUAAGCACGAAACUUGCCCCGAGAUGAGUUCUCCCUGAGACUUUAAGUCUCCUGAAGGAACGUUGAAGACGACGACGUUGAUAGGUCGGGUGUGUAAGCGCAGCGAUGCGUUGAGCUAACCGAUACUAAUGAACCGUGAGGCUUAACC
rnacentral:rRNA from 1 species